AAUGGUUAAUCCAAACUAAAAGACCACCACCACCACCAUCACCAUCAUAAAUACAUCUAUGCAUAUUCAUGUACAUAUUCUUUUUAUUUCCAUGCAUUAUGAAGAAAAGAAAAAAGAUACAUAUUAAAAAGGGAGAAAUUGGCUUGCAUUGAAUGAAGACCUGCCUGAUUACGAAGAUGAUAAAGAACAAAUUAGCUGUUAGUUUGGUUUUCCUUUUUCUGUAUAUCUCUUGAAAUAGAAUGCUCUGAGAUCGUUUUGGAGUGGUUUCAUAACAGUUCUAAUGAAUUUCAUAUAUUGACUACACUGAUUUUGUUUUUCAUUGCAGAGAAGGGGAACAUAUAAAGCCGAAUAGAGCAACAUGGAGCCCUUGAAAUCCAAAAUUUAUUAUGGCACUGAAAAUGAGUGACUGCCCUUGGAAGGGAGGAAACUCAGUGAUUCAGGAAGGAAAGCCUCAAGAUGGGGGUACAGUGACUGGAAAAUUCAUUUGGUUGCUUAAAACAUCAGCUUAACUCUGCCUCCAGAUUCACAUUUCCCACUUGUGUCUUGUCUUCAAAAAUAAAAAAGAGGAAACCACCAAUGAGAGCAUGUGGUGUUAUAAAUCACUGUGCCUAUUGUUAGAAAAAUGACUAAAGGUUCUAAACAGAUUCAAAGGGUCCCGAUCAGCUCUGUUCACUCACCUUAAGAAGAACCAUAAAAGAGAUGCACUGACUUCUGAUGAUAGAGCGAACUUCUAAGAUCAUGACUGGUCCUUUGAAAACAAGCUGUCUUUCUGGAAAUGUUAGAGUGUUGUCAUCUUCAGGAUUGACUGUUUUCAGAGGGGAAAUAGAGGCCACAUUUUCAUUCAGUGUCUCUUGUCUAAGAGUGAGGGGAAUUCUACCCGAAGACCACUGACAAUGAGGAUGGAAUGAUCAACUCUUUUGUUUGAAAGGAAAUUGUAAAAUUCUUAGCUCAUUGUCUGGAAUACAGUAAGUAUAGGGUGGCUCUUCUAAUCUACUAGCUACUAAUUCAAACCUAAGAUGCCCAUCACAAAUUUCUGCUUGUACUAACAUUUCUUUACUUUUCAUCUUCUUUUUACUUUAAAAUCCCUCUUUGUCUAAUCACUUCUUGCACCCCUUGUCAAGAUUUGCGAAGUCUAAGUAUUGCAUGCUAUUGGGCCUAAGAGUGAGUAUCUUAAUGCACUGAUGCCUCUUUGCUUACCUGCUAGUCCUUUCUGGGUCUUGGAGUGCAGAAACUCUUCUUUGCCCUAAAAAAUAUGGAUUUGGUUGUAGGCAUGGUCUUGAGGAAGGAAGUAAGCAGGGCCUAGGUUGGGUGCUUGCAUGCACGAUUUGACUGAAGGAAACUUGGACUGCUCUUGCCUUUCUGCCUCAGGUACAGGGCAACUUAUGUGGAUCACUAUCUUUCAUGGAUCUCAGAUGUCCCCUGCAAAAUAAUGAUAUUCUGGGAAUCUAGGAGAUAAUCAGUGUGGAAAGGUUUUUGAAACCUUUUAGCUCCGUGAAGGUACUAGCUAUUUUUCUUCCAUUGGGUAGCUCUUUUUGUGGCAUAUAAGCAUAAAGUCAGAUGGGCAAUGACUAUGUAAGGGGAAGGUGCAAGGCAAAUAAAGCAAUGACUUGAUCUGAGGGAAGCUU
ensembl:lncRNA